UGAAGCUUGGCGGAGGAGGAGGAGGAGGCAUUGCAUCUGGAUUGUGGCCCAUGAAGGUGUAGUGCCUGAACCGGUCCUGAACUUCAACACUUCUGAAUCUGUCCAUAAUACCAUGAUUGGCACGGCAGUCGUCCAUAAAACCAGACAUUUCAUUGUAGAAGACUUGGUGCCACUUAACCAAGUUCGUGUGCCAAGAGUGUUGGUUAUGGUACAUCCGUGUAUGAUCGUCAUGCCACUCACAAUGCU
rnacentral:lncRNA from 1 species